CAGCCGCCACGGUAAUACGUAGGGUGCGAGCGUUAAUCGGAAUUACUGGGCGUAAAGCGUGCGCAGGCGGUUAUAUAAGACAGAUGUGAAAUCCCCGGGCUCAACCUGGGACCUGCAUUUGUGACUGUAUAGCUAGAGUACGGUAGAGGGGGAUGGAAUUCCGCGUGUAGCAGUGAAAUGCGUAGAUAUGCGGAGGAACACCGAUGGCGAAGGCAAUCCCCUGGACCUGUACUGACGCUCAUGCACGAAAGCGUGGGGAGCAAACAGGAUUAGAUACCCCGGUAGUCCCUGUCUCUUAUAA
rnacentral:rRNA from 1 species